GCCUAACACAUGCAAGUCGAGCGGUAACACAGAGGAGCUUGCUCCUUGGGUGACGAGCGGCGGACGGGUGAGUAAUGCCUGGGGAUCUGCCCGAUAGAGGGGGAUAACUACGGGAAACUGUAGCUAAUACCGCAUAAUGUCUACGGACCAAAGUGGGGGCUCUUCGGACCUCAUGCUAUCGGAUGAACCCAGGUGGGAUUAGCUAGUUGGUGAGGUAAUGGCUCACCAAGGCGACGAUCUCUAACUGGUUUGAGAGAAUGACCAGUCACACUGGAACUGAGACACGGUCCAGACUCCUACGGGAGGCAGCAGUGGGGAAUAUUGCACAAUGGGCGCAAGCCUGAUGCAGCCAUGCCGCGUGUGUGAAGAAGGCCUUCGGGUUGUAAAGCACUUUCAGCGGGGAGGAAGGGUCACUAGUUAAUACCUAGUGGCAUUGACGUUACUCGCAGAAGAAGCACCGGCUAACUCCGUGCCAGCAGCCGCGGUAAUACGGAGGGUGCAAGCGUUAAUCGGAAUUACUGGGCGUAAAGCGCACGCAGGCGGUUUGUUAAGUCAGAUGUGAAAUCCCCGAGCUCAACUUGGGAACUGCAUUUGAAACUGGCAAGCUAGAGUCUUGUAGAGGGGGGUAG
rnacentral:rRNA from 1 species